UGUCGUAUACGUACCGGGAAAGCAUUC
rnacentral:sRNA from 1 species